GACGAACGCUGGCGGCGUGCUUAACACAUGCAAGUCGAACGGAAAGGCCCUGCUUUUGUGGGGUGCUCGAGUGGCGAACGGGUGAGUAACACGUGAGUAACCUGCCCUUGACUUUGGGAUAACUUCAGGAAACUGGGGCUAAUACCGGAUAGGAGCUCCUGCUGCAUGGUGGGGGUUGGAAAGUUUCGGCGGUUGGGGAUGGACUCGCGGCUUAUCAGCUUGUUGGUGGGGUAGUGGCUUACCAAGGCUUUGACGGGUAGCCGGCCUGAGAGGGUGACCGGCCACAUUGGGACUGAGAUACGGCCCAGACUCCUACGGGAGGCAGCAGUGGGGAAUAUUGCACAAUGGGCGGAAGCCUGAUGCAGCAACGCCGCGUGCGGGAUGACGGCCUUCGGGUUGUAAACCGCUUUCGCCUGUGACGAAGCGUGAGUGACGGUAAUGGGUAAAGAAGCACCGGCAAACUACGUG
rnacentral:rRNA from 1 species